UUAAGUUAAUAAGGGCGCACGGUGGAUGCCUUGGCACUAGGAGCCGACGAAGGACGUGACAAACGACGAUAUGCCUUGGGUAGCUGUAAGUAAGCGAUGAUCCAGGGAUUUCCGAAUGGGGGAACCCAACAGGUAGUACCUGUUACCCACAUCUGUUAAGGAUGUGAGGAGGAAGACGCAGUGAACUGAAACAUCUAAGUAGCUGCAGGAAGAGAAAGCAAAAGCGAUUGCCUUAGUAGCGGCGAGCGAAACGGCAGAAGGGCAAACCGAAGAGUUUACUCUUCGGGGUUGUAGGACUGCAAUGUGGACUCAAAGAUUAUAGAAGAAUGAUUUGGGAAGAUCAGCCAAAGAGAGUAAUAGCCUCGUAUUUUAAAUAGUCUUUGUACCUAGCAGUAUCCUGAGUACGGCGGGACACGUGAAAUCCCGUCGGAAUCUGGGAGGACCAUCUCCCAACCCUAAAUACUCCCUAGUGACCGAUAGUGAACCAGUACCGUGAGGGAAAGGUGAAAAGCACCCCGGGAGGGGAGUGAAAUAGAACCUGAAACCGUGUGCCUACAACAAGUUCGAGCCCGUUAAUGGGUGAGAGCGUGCCUUUUGUAGAAUGAACCGGCGAGUUACGUUAUGAUGCGAGGUUAAGUUGAAGAGACGGAGCCGUAGGGAAACCGAGUCUGAAUAGGGCGCCUUAGUAUCAUGACGUAGACCCGAAACCAUGUGACCUACCCAUGAGCAGGUUGAAGGUGCGGUAAGACGCACUGGAGGACCGAACCAGGGCACGUUGAAAAGUGCUUGGAUGACUUGUGGGUAGCGGAGAAAUUCCAAACGAACUUGGAGAUAGCUGGUUCUCUCCGAAAUAGCUUUAGGGCUAGCGUCGACAUUAGAGAUUCUUGGAGGUAGAGCACUGUUUGGGUGAGGGGUCCAUCCCGGAUUACCAAUCUCAGAUAAACUCCGAAUGCCAAAGAAUUAUGGUCGGCAGUCAGACUGCGAGUGCUAAGAUCCGUAGUCGAAAGGGAAACAGCCCAGACCACCAGCUAAGGUCCCAAAAUAAUUGUUAAGUGGAAAAGGAUGUGGGGUUGCACAGACAACUAGGAUGUUAGCUUAGAAGCAGCUAUUCAUUCAAAGAGUGCGUAAUAGCUCACUAGUCGAGUGACCCUGCGCCGAAAAUGUACCGGGGCUAAAACAAUUUACCGAAGCUGUGGAUACCUUUAUAGGUAUGGUAGGAGAGCGUUCUAUGUGUGAUGAAGGUAUACCGUGAGGAGUGCUGGAACGCAUAGAAGUGAGAAUGCCGGUAUGAGUAGCGAAAGACAGGUGAGAAUCCUGUCCACCGUAAGACUAAGGUUUCCAGGGGAAGGCUCGUCCGCCCUGGGUUAGUCGGGACCUAAGGAGAGACCGAAAGGUGUAUCCGAUGGACAACAGGUUGAUAUUCCUGUACUAGAGUAUGUAGUGAUGGAGGGACGCAGUAGGCUAACUAAAGCAGACGAUUGGAAGAGUCUGUCUAAGCAGUGAGGUGUGAAUUGAGUCAAAUGCUUAAUUCUAUAACAUUGAGCUGUGAUGGGGAGCGAAGUUUAGUAGCGAAGUUAGUGACGUCACACUGCCAAGAAAAGCUUCUAGCGUUUAAACAUACUCUACCCGUACCGCAAACCGACACAGGUAGUCGAGGCGAGUAGCCUCAGGUGAGCGAGAGAACUCUCGUUAAGGAACUCGGCAAAAUGACCCCGUAACUUCGGGAGAAGGGGUGCUGACUUAAAGUCAGCCGCAGUGAAUAGGCCCAAGCAACUGUUUAUCAAAAACACAGCUCUCUGCUAAAUCGUAAGAUGAUGUAUAGGGGGUGACGCCUGCCCGGUGCUGGAAGGUUAAGAGGAGUGCUUAGCGUAAGCGAAGGUAUGAAUUGAAGCCCCAGUAAACGGCGGCCGUAACUAUAACGGUCCUAAGGUAGCGAAAUUCCUUGUCGGGUAAGUUCCGACCCGCACGAAAGG
rnacentral:rRNA from 1 species